UGUUAUUCAAAAUUUUAAGUGAUGUGGUUACACUGCUUAUGCCUUGGUUAAGGAAGCUUAUUAAAUAUUGUUUAGUUAGGCACUAAAAACCAGUAACUAUGGUUCUGAACCUAUGCUUCAAAAUUGUGGAAUUUCUAUAAGCACCGGCUUUACUCAAGUGGAUGGUCGUGUUCUGCCUUCACCAAGGGUAUUUAAUAUUUCUUUUUGUCAUUGUGCUCUUGAAACUUGUUUAUUGUGUGUUGCCUUGUUGUUCUAUUUGAACUUGGUGAUCUAAGGUUUUCUUAAUUAUGAUUUGGAAGGUCCCUGAAGAAUAUAGUACUAAAUUUGAUGGAUCGUCUAUUUUGAAGAGAUGUAGUUCCAAUGCGAAUUUCUGGAAUAGCGAGUGGGAGAGGGGGCACGGUUUGGUUCGAGUUGGUUAGAGCGAUGGAUGAAAGAAAGA